rnacentral:rRNA from 1 species
GCAAGUCGAGCGGAUGAGAAGAGCUUGCUCUUCGAUUCAGCGGCGGACGGGUGAGUAAUGCCUAGGAAUCUGCCUGGUAGUGGGGGACAACGUUUCGAAAGGAACGCUAAUACCGCAUACGUCCUACGGGAGAAAGCAGGGGACCUUCGGGCCUUGCGCUAUCAGAUGAGCCUAGGUCGGAUUAGCUAGUUGGUGAGGUAAUGGCUCACCAAGGCGACGAUCCGUAACUGGUCUGAGAGGAUGAUCAGUCACACUGGAACUGAGACACGGUCCAGACUCCUACGGGAGGCAGCAGUGGGGAAUAUUGGACAAUGGGCGAAAGCCUGAUCCAGCCAUGCCGCGUGUGUGAAGAAGGUCUUCGGAUUGUAAAGCACUUUAAGUUGGGAGGAAGGGCAUUAACCUAAUACGUUAGUGUUUUGACGUUACCGACAGAAUAAGCACCGGCUAACUCUGUGCCAGCAGCCGCGGUAAUACAGAGGGUGCAAGCGUUAAUCGGAAUUACUGGGCGUAAAGCGCGCGUAGGUGGUUUGUUAAGUUGGAUGUGAAAGCCCCGGGCUCAACCUGGGAACUGCAUCCAAAACUGGCAAGCUAGAGUACGGUAGAGGGUGGUGGAAUUUCCUGUGUAGCGGUGAAAUGCGUAGAUAUAGGAAGGAACACCAGUGGCGAAGGCGACCACCUGGACUGAUACUGACACUGAGGUGCGAAAGCGUGGGGAGCAAACAGGAUUA